AUGACAAGAGCCUGUUUCGUUAGCCAAGGAGACUGCCUGUGUGCCACUAAAGACUUACUUUUACCUUUCAUCAUAAUCCCGAUGGGAAGCGAUGGAGCCGUCGCAUUCCAUUUCAGUUUUCAAACUGCUGCUUGCCCUUGCCAGGCCACAGGCAAGUCAUCCUUGGCUACAAUACAGGGGCUAGCUCCAGUCC
rfam:Gossypium raimondii Chr05_contig_1207, whole genome shotgun sequence.